CCGAGUUUUCCAACUCCCAAACCCAAUGUGAACGCUACCCAAUCGUUGCUUCGGCGCGGACGCCCGCAGGGGCGGACCGCCGGAGGCCAUUGAAACUCUUAUUGUAUCUCGCAGUGGCAUUUGUCUGAGUGAAGCCUUCGGGCGAAAAAAAUGAAUCA
rnacentral:misc_RNA from 1 species